rnacentral:rRNA from 1 species
UGGUGGAGUGAUUUGUCUGGUUAAUUCCGUUAACGAACGAGACCUCGACCUGCUAAAUAGUUUGGCGAAUUCCCUGUGGAUUCGCACAUAACUCCUUAGAGGGACUAUCGGUUCGCAGCCGGUGGAAGUUCGAGGCAAUAACA